rnacentral:piRNA from 1 species
GAAUUGGACCAGAUGUAAGUUUUCAUGC